UACGAAGGGUGCAAGCGUUAAUCGGAAUUACUGGGCGUAAAGCGCGCGUAGGUGGUUUGAUAAGUUGGAUGUGAAAGCCCCCGGGCGUCAACCUAGGGAAGUUAGUCAUCCAAAACUAGUCUGACUAGAGUAUGGCAGAGGGUGGUGGAAUUUCCUUGUGUAGCGGUGAAAUGCGUAGAUAUAGGAAGGGAACACCAGUGGCGAAGGCGACCACCUGGGCGUAAUACUGACACUGAGGUGCGAAAGACGUGGGGGAGGCAAACAGGAUUAGAUACCCGGGUAGU
rnacentral:rRNA from 1 species